UCCUUCUUACCUCAGUUGGUAGAGCGCACCACUGGAGCAGCCUAACAAUUCUGACAAGGUCAAUCGUUCAAGUCAGCUAGAAGGAA